UCCAAUUCAAGUUUCCAACCCUCUUUUUCCUUUCUCUCGUCACUUCCUCCUUCAAACCUUCUCUUCGGCGGUUGAACUCUGAAGGUCCGACCUGUCUUACUCCGGCCAGAUCCUUUCCUACUCUAUUUGGGAUCAAUGUACUUCUUCAUUGCUACCAUUCAAAAGUUCUUCACACCAGUCAAUUCAGACAAUCGGUGGAGUGAUCACAUCGAUUUGUCAGAGGCAAAAUUCACUUUUUUUGGUCAAGAAGUCUGCAUUGUUUGGACCAGUAUUGCAUGAACUCUCCUAAAUGGAUGAGCCAUUGGUGUCAACCAUGUGGCAGACACCAACACUUCAUGGAUUGUUGAGGGGCACUUAAAUGUGGCAGUUUUCAUUCUUUCAUUGCUUAUUUAAUAUAAAUGAACUGGUAAUGUAUGCAUUGAAUGCUACUUUUCCUAUGAAAUAUUAUCAAGUAACAAAGGUAAGCUUUUGAUAUUUUUUCCUGUGGGAUUACAAUGUUAAAUUCAACAAAAGUUGAAAAAUAUAAUGUUAGAAUUCAACAAAAUAUGGAGUAUUUUAAUAGUUUAUACUUGUCCAUGUCCAUGCAACACUUAUUUGGACCAACUGGCUCUCUAGAUGCUCCUUUAUCCUUUAUCUGAAUUAAUGUUCAUUUCACUUUUCACCAUCUAUGCAUAUGAUCUUCAAGGAACUUGGGAGAUGCCAUCACAAGCUUAAUUAAUUCAAGUGGAGAAAUUUGUAGUAGUAUUAGGAUGGCAACAUUUCUCUAAUAGGAUUAUCUUAUUAUGGCAUCAAGAGAGACCAUGAGAGUAGCAUUAAGGUUCAAAGUGUUGAUAUGAUGCGCCUGUGUUGUAUCUUUUGUUUGCCAAUGUGCUAUAUUUCUUGGCCCCCAAUAUGCCAAAUACAAGGAAUCAGGACAUCUGGCCAUUUUUAGAGGUUAAUAUCCUCCUGGAGGUGUCUUUACUCAAUUCUUGAACUUAUUUUUUCUAAGGUUUUUUCCCCUUCUGUUUGAAAGUGUAUUGAUACUUAACCAAGAGUAGCAUGAGUGAAAGCAUUAGUAGGGUGAGAUUCUGUGACAAAAUGUUCUUAGUAUGUUUCAGGAGAGUCCAUGGAAGCUUGGGGAAAAUUGAAGACUUUGUGAAGGCAUUCAUAUCAAGAAUUUGGGUUGAAUGACUCAGGAGUUUUAUGAUUGUUAUGAAAUUACUACUUAUACAUCUUUGAUCACCAGCCAAUUUAGAGAUUCUGAUCAUGAAUAGACUCUUGAUGGAAAGUAACACCAUAUAAAUGAAAACUAUAAGAACAUCAAUGGUUGAACUUGGUGUCCAGGGGCAUUUCACGUAUGACCUAUUGGCUGGUUAGAGAUUUAUCAUGGUUGCGUCUAUUUUAAAAUGAAAUAUUGGAGAAAGAUGGAUGUGCAUUCUUUUUUGUGCCUGCCCUAUCUUUUACUCCAGAGUGGCACAUGUAGAAUAUCAAAUCAAGUUCUAAUUGACAAAAAAAAGGCCUCGAGAGGGAUAUAUGGAAAAUGAUGGCAGGGCUUGCAUUAUCUUGUACUUGCAGUGCAGUGCUUCAAGUUCUGAGCUAACUUAGAAAAAUAUCCUAUAAACUUGUUGGCUUUCAACUACUCUUGGUGGUAUUUAAUGAUACUUUGCAUAUUAAAUUCCAUUUGGUUGAAUGACUUAUGGUUUUGGUCAGAACUCAACACAGUAUUAAAGUGCAUCUUUUUGGAAACAAAAUUUCAUGAAUAUGAUCACUUUGGAUGAUACAAUGCAUACUAAAAUAGUGAGAAACCUAAAUCACCUUUAACAGCACACCCCAAGCAAAUACUUUUAUAUAUGGUAGAUACAAUUCAUUUGAUGGGCUUGCUUGACUA